rnacentral:tRNA from 1 species
GCUUUUAAAGGAUAGUAGUUAUCCAUUGGUCUUAGGAACCAACUUCCUAGGUGCAAAUCCAUGUAAAAGCU